CAGUGUUUUACAAAUGUUUAAUAAUCCAAAGAGAUAGGGACUAUUAUUAUUCUCAUUUUACAGAUGAGGAAACUGAGACCUGAGAAAGAUUAAGCACCUUGAACAGGGUCACACAAUAAAUAAGUAUCUUAUGCUGAAUUUGAACUCAAGUCUUCCUGACUCCGGAACUAUGCUUCCUCACUCCGAAAGCUUUGUUGUAACCAGCUAAAGGGAAACUGUAGAUAGAAAACAUUUGAAACUUUUGUUGCAUGGACUCUUUGUGGAGAGCUGUUUGGAGAAAAUGUGUGCAAGAUAAACACUGAUUUUGAACAUUUGAGAUGAACUGCAUGAGAACAGGAUGGGUGAAUUACAGUGGAGUAGGAUGCAGAUGAGUGAUUACCUGGGCAGAAAUCCAAACCAUUGAAGAUAGACACGGAAGGGAGCCAGGUGUGAUAAAUAAGUGAGAAAUUGGUCAGCUUCCAGGGACGACCAUUUCCCACAUCAUUUUUUAAAGCAACAACAAACUCAUGAGGAUCUGCAUCAGAAGCCAUUGGCACAAAAUGACUGGCACUGUGGAGAAUGGCAUGAGGUAAAAAGUGUUUACUGGGACUGCCAGAAGAAAUAUUGCAUAAACAUAUGGAAGGUGUUGGAGGAGAAAGAUAGUUGGGCCAGACUCUUGUGAGUGACAACAGAUCAUCACAUUUUGGAGAAGGAAAUGGCAAAGUAUUCUAGGAUCUGGCAAGAAAACCCCAAAUGGGGUCACCA
rnacentral:lncRNA from 1 species